GACGAACGCUGGCGGCGUGCUUAACACAUGCAAGUCGAACGGAAAGGCCUUUUCGGAGGUACUCGAGUGGCGAACGGGUGAGUAACACGUGGGUGAUCUGCCCUGCACUCUGGGAUAAGCCUGGGAAACUGGGUCUAAUACCGGAUAGGACCGCACUUUAGUGUGUGUGGUGGAAAGUUUUUUCGGUGUAGGAUGAGCCCGCGGCCUAUCAGCUUGUUGGUGGGGUAAUGGCCUACCAAGGCGGCGACGGGUAGCCGGACUGAGAGGUUGGUCGGCCACAUUGGGACUGAGAUACGGCCCAGACUCCUACGGGAGGCAGCAGUGGGGAAUAUUGCACAAUGGGCGCAAGCCUGAUGCAGCGACGCCGCGUGGGGGACGACGGCCUUCGGGUUGUAAACUCCUUUCGCCAGGGACGAAGCGUUUUGUGACGGUACCUGGAGAAGAAGCACCGGCUAACUACGUG
rnacentral:rRNA from 1 species